AUUGAACGCUGGCGGCAGGCCUAACACAUGCAAGUCGAACGAGUGGCAGACGGGUGAGUAAUGUCUGGGAAAGUGCCUGAUGGAGGGGGAUAACUACUGGAAAAGGUCGCUAAUACCGCAUACCAUCAGAUGUGCCCAGAUGGGAGUAGCUUGUUGUUGGGGUAACGGCUCACCAAGGCGACGAUCCCUAGCUGGUCUGAGAGGAUGACCAGUCACACUUGAAUCAAGACACGGUCCAGACUCCUACGGUAUGCAGCAGUGGGGAAUAUUGCACAAUGGGCGCAAGCCUGAUGCAGCCAUGCCGCGUGUAUGAAGAAGGCCUUCGGGUUGUAAAGUACUUGCAGCGUGGAGGCGUUACCCGCAGAAGAAACACCGGCUAACUCAGUGCCAGCAGCCGCGGUAAUUC
rnacentral:rRNA from 1 species